ACGCGAGGAACCUUACCAGGUCUUGACAUCCCGGUGACCGCUCUGGAGACAGAGUUUUCCCUUUUAGGGACACCGGUGACAGGUGGUGCAUGGUUGUCGUCAGCUCGUGUCGUGAGAUGUUGGGUUAAGUCCCGCAACGAGCGCAACCCUUGAUCUUAGUUGCCAGCAUUAAGUUGGGCACUCUAAGGUGACUGCCGGUGACAAACCGGAGGAAGGUGGGGAUGACGUCAAAUCAUCAUGCCCCUUAUGACCUGGGCUACACACGUGCUACAAUGGAUGGUACAAAGGGCAGCAAAACCGCGAGGUCGAGCAAAUCCCAUAAAACCAUUCUCAGUUCGGAUUGUAGGCUGCAACUCGCCUACAUGAAGCUGGAAUCGCUAGUAAUCGCGGAUCAGCAUGCCGCGGUGAAUACGUUCCCGGGCCUUGCACACACCGCCCGU
rnacentral:rRNA from 1 species